UACGGGGGGGGGCAAGCGUUGUUCGGAAUUACUGGGCGUAAAGGGUUCGUAGGUGGCUUGCUCAGUCAGACGUGAAAUCCCUCAGCUUAACUGGGGAACUGCGUCUGAUACUGGCGAGCUUGAGUGCAGGAGAGGAACGCGGAAUUCCAGGUGUAGCGGUGAAAUGCGUAGAUAUCUGGAGGAACACCGGUGGCGAAGGCGGCAUCCUGGACCGGUAUUGACACUGAGGCGCGAAAGCCAGGGGAGCAACGGG
rnacentral:rRNA from 1 species